CCUAGUAACGGCGAGUGAAGCGGCAACAGCUCAAAUUUGAAAGCUAGCCUUCGGGUUCGCAUUGUAAUUUGUAGAGGAUGAUUUGGGGAAGCCGCCUGUCUAAGUUCCUUGGAACAGGACGUCAUAGAGGGUGAGAAUCCCGUAUGUGACAGGAAAUGGCACCCUAUGUAAAUCUCCUUCGACGAGUCGAGUUGUUUGGGAAUGCAGCUCUAAAUGGGAGGUAAAUUUCUUCUAAAGCUAAAUAUUGGCGAGAGACCGAUAGCGCACAAGUAGAGUGAUCGAAAGAUGAAAAGCACUUUGGAAAGAGAGUUAAAAAGCACGUGAAAUUGUUGAAAGGGAAGCGCUUGCAAUCAGACUUGUUUAAACUGUUCGGCCGGUCUUCUGACCGGUUUACUCAGUUUGGACAGGCCAGCAUCAGUUUCGGCGGCCGGAUAAAGGCUCUGGGAAUGUGGCCUCCACUUCGGUGGAGGUGUUAUAGCCCAGGGUGUAAUACGGCCAGCCGGGACUGAGGUCCGCGCUUCGGCUAGGAUGCUGGCGUAAUGGUU
rnacentral:rRNA from 1 species